ensembl:lncRNA
CCUGAGGACUGCACAGUUAAGUCCCAAGGGCAGGGGAGUGAGGCUGUGGGAGAAGAAGGAGAAGUGAGAAAUCAGCACUUGGCUAGUGGGAUGAUCAAGGAGGUACUAGAUGUGGAGACUGAGGCCAGAGGAUCCACAGGCCAGGUUUUGUAGUGUCCAGAUCCAAGGGCAUCUCCCAGCUGGAGGAGAAGGAGAUGCCAUGGCCCUGCUGGGGUCUUUAUAUCCAGAUUCUCAGGUCAAGACAAGGUACAAACAGUUAACUCCAAAGGGAAAAAAUCUUUUGAAAAAAAAUUACAAAGAGUAACCCAGAAAGUUUUCCUAAGAGGCAAUCCAAAGGAGUCUGAGUCUAAACUAGCUUAUGGGACUGAAAUAGGAGCAGAACACUCAUGGAAAAAAGUCACAAUAAAGGGCAGGAGGAAGUUCUUUUCCCAAAAGAGAGGUUGAUGGCGAGUGACCAGCUCUCCCCUCAAAACCAGUUUAGCAGAGAAAGACCAGGAAUGCCACAAAUUAGAGAAAAAUUUGUCUCUUGACACAAAGUUUAUUGCUCAUCAGAGGGACAGGCCUGCAGAGAGAGCCACUAGAUGGAGGACACAUGGCCAAGGCUUUCUGUGGGAGCCAGGCCUGAGUGGACAGGAGACAGGUCCUGGUGGGUCAAAGCUCCUUAGAUGUCAUGUGUGUGGAAAAUCUUUCAGCAAAAAUUUACACCUUAGUCAACAUCAGAAAACUCACCCUUGAGAGAAGACCUGUUGAUAUAUCCAGUGUGGAUGAAUAUUCAAUCACAACUCAAUCCUGUGGAGAGAAACCCUAUAUGUGUAAUGAAUGUGGCAUUUGUGAUUUCAAGAGGCAUCAAAGCUUGUGAAACAUCAGAGAAUUCACACUGGAGAAAAUUCCUGC